rnacentral:rRNA from 1 species
UGAACGCUAGCGGCAGGCUUAACACAUGCAAGUCGAACGGUAACAGAAAAAGCUUGCUUUUUGCUGACGAGUGGCGAACGGGUGCGUAACGCGUAUGCAACCUACCUUUAACAGAGGGAUAGCCCAGAGAAAUUUGGAUUAAUACCUCAUAAUAUUACGAGAUCUCAUGGUCAUGUAAUUAAAGCUUCGGCGGUUAAAGAUGGGCAUGCGUGACAUUAGCUAGAUGGUAAGGUAACGGCUUACCAUGGCAACGAUGUCUAGGGGGUCUUAAAGGAUGAUCCCCCACACUGGUACUGAGACACGGACCAGACUCCUACGGGAGGCAGCAGUGAGGAAUAUUGGUCAAUGGACGAAAGUCUGAACCAGCCAUGCCGCGUGAAGGAUGACGGCCCUAUGGGUUGUAAACUUCUUUUAUAUGGGAAGAAACCCUCUUACGUGUAAGAGGCUGACGGUACCAUACGAAUAAGCACCGGCUAACUCC